GAAGGAGACCGGCACCCAGACAGGUGGCGACGGCAGAGGAAUCCUUCUUAGAAAUUCCUAAGGCUCAAUGCUGUGUGGAAGAUUCUGAGAAAAAAAAUAGUUUCCGAUCUUUGGGAUUCCCGAGAUGGUCCAAUCUGCAAAAAGUUCAUUGCCAUUUCCAUCAAGGACACUGAGAACAAGAGUCUUAUCUGGAUUAGAUCCUGGGAAUUGAGAAGCUUCAGCAGGGCUUCCGCUGGGACUAGGAUCAGGAUGUGGACACCCCCAACCUGGACCGUCUGGCCGGGGAGGGCGUCAAGGCCAAGUACCUCAUGCCGCCCCUUGUCACAAUGACCUCCCCAUCCCACUUCACUGCCAUCCCAGGUGAUCGAGUGUGGAUCAAGAACUGGAACGUAGCCUCUUUGUGUCCACUGUGGAAAGGACCCCAGACUGUCGUUCUGAGCCCUCCCACCGCUGUGAAGGUAGAAGGAAUCCCAGCCUGGAUCCACCACAGCCAUGUAAAACCUGCAGCGCGUGAAACCUGGGAGGCAAGACCAAGCCCAGACAACCCUUUCAGAGUGACCCUGAAGAAGACGACAAGCCCUGCUCCAGUCACACCCGGAAGCUGACUGGUCCACGCACGGCCGAAGCCUGAGGAAGCUCAUCGUGAGAUUCAUUUUUCUUAAAUUUUGGACUUAUACAGUAAGGGCUUCAACUGAUCUUACUCAAACUGGGGACUGUUCCCAGUGUAUUCAUCAGGUCACCGAAGUAGGACAGCAAAUUAAAACAAUCUUUCUGUUCUAUAGUUAUUAUGAAUGUGUGGAAACAAUAAAAGAAACUUGUUUGUAUAAUGCCACUCAGUGCAAGGUAUGUAGCCCGAGAAAUGACCGACCUGAUGCGUGUUAUAACCCAUCUGAGCCCUCCGCAACCACCGUUUUUGAAAUAAGAAUAAGAACUGGCCUUUUCCUAGGUGAUACAAG
rnacentral:lncRNA from 1 species